GACAGAGGUCCCGAGCGUUAGGCGGAAUCACUGGGCUUAAAGCGUGUGUAGGCGGAUUGGUAAGUACCUUGUGAAAUCCCACGGCUUAACCGUGGAACUGCUUGGUAUACUGCUUAUCUUGGGCCACUUAGGGGCUACCGGAACAAGCGGUGGAGCGGUGAAAUGCGUAGAUAUCGUUUGGAACGCCAAUGGUGAAAACAGGUAGCUGGGAGUGUGCCGACGCUGAGACACGAAAGCCAGGGGAGCGAACGGG
rnacentral:rRNA from 1 species